rnacentral:rRNA from 1 species
AUUGAACGCUGGCGGCAUGCUUUACACAUGCAAGUCGAACGGUAACAGGCCUUCGGGUGCUGACGAGUGGCGAACGGGUGAGUAAUGCAUCGGAACGUGCCCAGAGGUGGGGGAUAACGCAGCGAAAGCUGUGCUAAUACCGCAUGUGAUCUGAGGAUGAAAGCGGGGGACCAGGCAGCAAUGUUUGGCCUCGCGCCUUUGGAGCGGCCGAUGUCAGAUUAGGUAGUUGGUGGGGUAAAGGCCUACCAAGCCGACGAUCUGUAGCUGGUCUGAGAGGACGACCAGCCACACUGGGACUGAGACACGGCCCAGACUCCUACGGGAGGCAGCAGUGGGGAAUUUUGGACAAUGGCGCAAGCCUGAUCCAGCAAUGCCGCGUGCGGGAAGAAGGCCUUCGGGUUGUAAACCGCUUUUGUACGGAACGAAAAGGCUCUGGCUAAUACCUGGGGCUGAUGACGGUACCGUAAGAAUAAGCACCGGCUAACUACGUG